rnacentral:rRNA from 1 species
UGAAGGAAAGGUGAAAAGGACCCCGGGAGGGGAGUGAAAGAGAACCUGAAACCCUAUGUUUACAAGCAGAUAGAGCGAUUUAAGGCGCGAUAUCGUACUUUUUGUAGAACGGUCCAGCGAGUUAUUGUAUAUGGCGAGGUUAAGUUCUGAAUAAGGAAUGGAGCCGAAGAGAAAUCGAGUCUGAAUAGGGCGAUAUAAGUCAUAUAUAAUAGACCCGAAACCGGGUGACCUAUCCAUGGUCAGGAUGAAGCUGAAGUAAAAUUCAGUGGAGGUCCGAACUGAUUGUCGUUAAAAAGGCACCGGAUGAACUGUGGAUAGCGGAGAAAUUCCAAUCGAACUCGGAGAUAGCUGGUUCUCCUCGAAAUAGCUUUAGGGCUAGCCUUGAGGUAAAAGAAUUAUGGGGGUAGAGCACUGAAUGAGGUAGGGGCCAAACCAGGUUACUGAACUCUAUCAAACUGCGAAUACCAUAAUUAGAAUACUCAGGAGUCAGACUGCGGGAGCUAAGUUCCGUGGUCAAAAGGGAAAGAGCCCAGACCGACAAUUAAGGUCCCAAAGAUAUAGUUAAGUGGAAAACGAUGUGAAUUUGCAUAAACAACCAGGAUGUUGGCUCAGAAGCAGCCACUCAUUCAAAGAGUGCGUAACAGCUCACUGGUCGAGUGAAUUUGCGCGGAAAAUUACCGGGGCUAAACUAUACACCGAAAUUUCGGAUUUACGUAUGAAAAUAUGUAAGUGGUAGAGGAGCAUUCUGUAGUAGGACGAAGUCAAAGCGAAAGCAUUGGUGGACGAGGCAGAAGAGAGAAUGCUGGAAUAAGUAGCGAGAGCAAGGUGAGAAUCCUUGCCGUCGAAAGUCUAAGGUUUCCUGGGGAAGGUUCGUCCGCCCAGGGUAAGUCGGGGCCUAAGGAGAGGCCGAAAGGCGUAUCUGAUGGAUAGCAGGUGGAGAUUCCUGCACUAUAGCUAGUUUUAAAAGAUGCAAGGGACGCAGUAGAGGAAGAUAACCAAGGAAGAGGAAAGACUUGGUCCGCAAGGGAUAGUGAAAAUUAAUAGUAACGAAAUAUCAAGAAUCACACUGACGAGAAAAGCUUGUAGAUAUUAACUAGAAAUACCCGUACCGCAAACCGACACAGGUAGAUGAGGAGAGGAUCCUAAGACGAGCGGGAGAAGCAUUGUUAAGGAACUCGGCAAAAUAACCCCGUAACUUCGGGAGAAGGGGAACCUAAGUAAAAUUAGGUCGCAGAGAAAAGGCCCAAGCAACUGUUUAACAAAAACACAGGUUUCUGCAAAAUCGAAAGAUGAAGUAUAGGAGCUGACGCCUGCCCAGUGCUGGAAGGUUAAGGGAAAGAGUUAGACGUAAGUCGAAGCUUAGAACUAAAGCCCCAGUGAACGGCGGCCGUAACUAUAACGGUCCUAAGGUAGCGAAAUUCCUUGUCAGGUAAGUUCUGACCCGCACGAAAGGCGUAAUGAUUUGGGCACUGUCUCGACAAUGUACCCGGCGAAAUUGUAGUACUAGUGAAGAUGCUAGUUACCUGCGACAAGACAGAAAGACCCCAUGGAGCUUUACUGCAGUUUGAUACUGGGUUUCGAUAAGUUAUGUACAGGAUAGGUGGGAGACAAAGAAAGAAAGGCGUCAGCUUUUCCGGAGUCACCGUUGGGAUACCACCCUUAAUUUGUUGGAAUUCUAACUAGUGGUCAUGAUCUGGCCAGAGGACAAUGUCAGACGGGCAGUUUGACUGGGGCGGUCGCCUCCAAAAGAGUAACGGAGGCGCCCAAAGGUUCCCUCAGUGCGGACAGAAAUCGCACGAAAGAGUGUAAAGGCAGAAGGGAGCUUAACUGGAAGAUAGACAUAUCGAGCAGAUACGAAAGUAGGGCUUAGUGAUCCGGUGGAUAUUGAAUGGAAAAGCCAUCGCUCAACGGACAAAAGUUACCCUGGGGAUAACAGGCUUAUCUCCCCCAAGAGUUCACAUCGACGGGGAGGUUUGGCACCUCGAUGUCGGCUCAUCGCAUCCUGGAGCUGUAGCAGGUUCCAAGGGUUGGGCUGUUCGCCCAUUAAAGCGGUACGCGAGCUGGGUUCAGAACGUCGUGAGACAGUUCGGUCCUUAUCUGUCGCAGGCGGAAGAUAUUUGAGAGGAGCUGUCCUUAGUACGAGAGGACCAGGAUGGACAUACCGAUGGUGUAUCAGUUGUCACACCAGUGGCACGGCUGAGUAGCCAAGUAUGGACGGGAUAAACGCUGAAAGCAUCUAAGUGUGAAGCCCACCUCAAGAUAAGAUAUCUCAUAUCGU